rnacentral:lncRNA from 1 species
UUUUUUUUUGGUGAGAGAAAUGGUGAAAAAGUAGCAUUCAGGCAGGCUGUGUGAGCCACACAGAUGAUCAAAGGCCAACCACAACAAGACAAUUAUAACUCAAUUGCUCAAAAGUAGUGCAGAGCACACAAGAAAAAGGGGGUUCAGGAGAAGUCUGAAUAAAAUUACGUUUCCUUUGAUUGAUGCCUUCUUUAGCCUGUGCUGCAACAUCAUCUGAUCCUGAUGAGAGGCUUUCACUUUGAAAGGUCCGGUGGUUUCUUUCUUUCCAAACAUUCCACAUGAAGCCAUUGGUGCAGAUUUAUGCAGCAUAUAUUACCCUGAAAGUCCUUUUAUCUAUACUUUGCUUGUGUUUAACAAAUUCUGUGAUAGUGGAUGCGACAUUUUUCAGUAUCAGUAACUUUUGCCAAGUAAAAGGCAAUCAUAAUUUAUAGAUUCAUUGAGUUGAUCUUAUAUUGUACAACAAUGUUUUUUUCUGUUUAGUUACUGGACAGAAUAAAUCUUGUUUUUCAUCUUGGACAAAGAAUGUUUUUCAUUUAGAUACUUCGAAGAUCCUCGUUUUGUUAGCUUCAUUCACCUUGUUUUCUUAGCUUCAUUUAGCAAGUAGGGCCAAUAUGACACAAUGAUGUUGGGUAGCACAUCCUAUUAAUAGUUGUUGAAUUGCAAAAUGUUUGUGUAACAAAGGCACAAUGCUUAUAUUUUUGGGCAUAACAUUUAUAUUAUCUACCUUCAUUUCAUAUCUGCAAUAACAUCGCCCAUGUUUUAUUUAGAAGUACCACCUCAUUCUUUGCUCCAUUGUCUAUCACAAAAAAUGCUGACUUAGUACUGCAAGAAUCUGAUGUCAAAUUUUACAUCUAUAUACAAGAAGUCAAUAGUUUCUGAUUCCUUGGUGAUAUAAACCUUUUAUAUUUUAUAUUGUACGUACGAUCACUUAAAAGGUUAUCAUCAACCGUUUCAUCUUUAAAUUUAACUGAACAGUCUGGCAAAGAGGUAUCCAUAUGUGGUGGUGCGCGAGAUCUGAGAGGGGGCUGUUUAGUUUCUACUGUUAUUUUCACCUCAAUUCCCUCCAAUCACGAGUGGGGUUUGAAUUUUAUAAACUAGCCCUUACCUUGGUAUGAAACUGGCUGCACUAUUCUUGAUAUGCUUUUAUUCUACUAAAACUGCUACAAUAUAUAUCUGAUAAUUUCAAGCACACAAAAUUUUGUCCAAAAUCAUUGAGAUUACUUUCUCACGCACAAUGUAUCCACAACAUCAUAGCGAGUAGGGCAUGCCUUGCACUAUAUUGCGCCCAUAAAUAUGUUAUUGCGAGAAAUCAGUUAUGCAAUUUUCUGCGCAACAGAUCUGUUCAUUUUUUAUGAAAUCUUCUUAGUUGCCCUUGUUUUUGGCACCUGUAACAUUUCAUUCGCGUUUUGUUUUUAUGUUUUAGAGUCGGUUCGGUGACAAAGGAAUUGGAAAAGGAAUUGGAGGAGUUCCAUGGGAGGAAACCCCUUGCUAUUUAGCUUUGAAUAGUUUAUUUAAUUUUAAAUAGAAUGGAGUUUCCUUCCCAUAAAUCCCCUCCGCUUCUCUAGUCACCAAAUUAACUUUUCUUGGAGCUGGUUUGGUGGCAAUGAAAUUGGGGGAUUGAGGGAGAGCUUCCCUCUAAUCCCCUCCAAUUUUCUUGUCACCAAACCAGCACUCGGUAAUAUUUUUUCCCCAAAGGCAAUAGUAGUUCCGUCCCAAAGCAAAUCAACAGGAAAAAAUGUUUCACAGUGCUGAUCAUUGUGCUUCUAUUGGUGAAAGGAACAGGAGUUCCAUGCCCAACAAUUUCUGCUACAAGAAGAAAACUGGCAAAAGAUGAUCACAAAGAGCCCUACAGCCUGAUGCUCAGUCGAGCAAGGUCCUAGCUCUUUGAGAAAGGGAAAAAGAAAGAGAGGAUGGAUUGUAAUUGCAUCUCCGAAGAGGCUGCACUUAAAUAACAAUCGACUAAGAGGGGGAGACCAUAUGGAUAAAGUGCUGGAGACGGUCUAAGAGGAUGGCUUCAAUUAUGAUGGCUGAACCACUGAAGGAGCCAUGUUCUCCUCAGAUCGGCUGCUCCAGCAGAUGUCGCUGAGUGAAGGUCUUAGGCCCUUGCUGCAGAACAUCUCAUACUCCAGC